rnacentral:rRNA from 1 species
GCUCGAGUGGCGAACGGGUGAGUAACACGUGAGUAACCUGCCCUUGACUUUGGGAUAACUUCAGGAAACUGGGGCUAAUACCGGAUAGGAGCUCCUGCUGCAUGGUGGGGGUUGGAAAGUUUCGGCGGUUGGGGAUGGACUCGCGGCUUAUCAGCUUGUUGGUGGGGUAGUGGCUUACCAAGGCUUUGACGGGUAGCCGGCCUGAGAGGGUGACCGGCCACAUUGGGACUGAGAUACGGCCCAGACUCCUACGGGAGGCAGCAGUGGGGAAUAUUGCACAAUGGGCGGAAGCCUGAUGCAGCAACGCCGCGUGCGGGAUGACGGCCUUCGGGUUGUAAACCGCUUUCGCCUGUGACGAAGCGUGAGUGACGGUAAUGGGUAAAGAAGCACCGGCUAACUACGUGCCAGCAGCCGCGGUGAUACGUAGGGUGCGAGCGUUGUCCGGAUUUAUUGGGCGUAAAGGGCUCGUAGGUGGUUGAUCGCGUCGGAAGUGUAAUCUUGGGGCUUAACCCUGAGCGUGCUUUCGAUACGGGUUGACUUGAGGAAGGUAGGGGAGAAUGGAAUUCCUGGUGGAGCGGUGGAAUGCGCAGAUAUCAGGAGGAACACCAGUGGCGAAGGCGGUUCUCUGGGCCUUUCCUGACGCUGAGGAGCGAAAGCGUGGGGAGCGAACAGGCUUAGAUACCCUGGUAGUCCACGCUGUAAACGGUGGGUACUAGGUGUGGGGUCCAUUCCACGGGUUCCGUGCCGUAGCUAACGCUUUAAGUACCCCGCCUGGGGAGUACGGCCGCAAGGCUAAAACUCAAAGGAAUUGACGGGGCCCCGCACAAGCGGCGGAGCAUGCGGAUUAAUUCGAUGCAACGCGUAGAACCUUACCUGGGUUUGACAUGGAUCGGGAGCGCUCAGAGAUGGGUGUGCCUCUUUUGGGGUCGGUUCACAGGUGGUGCAUGGCUGUCGUCAGCUCGUGUCGUGAGAUGUUGGGUUAAGUCCCGCAACGAGCGCAACCCUUGUUCACUGUUGCCAGCACGUUAUGGUGGGGACUCAGUGGAGACCGCCGGGGUCAACUCGGAGGAAGGUGGGGAUGACGUCAAGUCAUCAUGCCCCUUAUGUCCAGGGCUUCACGCAUGCUACAAUGGCUGGUACAGAGAGUGGCGAGCCUGUGAGGGUGAGCGAAUCUCGGAAAGCCGGUCUCAGUUCGGAUUGGGGUCUGCAACUCG